CGAGGGGUAACCUGCGGAGGGAUCAUUACACAAUACAAUAUGAAGGCUGUCCGCAGCUGGAGUAUUUUAUUACCCUUGUCUUUUGCGCACUUGUUGUUUCCUGGGCGGGUUCGCUCGCCACCAGGACCACCAAAUAAACCUUUUUUAUGCAGUUGCAAUCAGCGUCAGUACAAACAAUGUAAAUCAUUUACAACUUUCAACAACGGAUCUCUUGGUUCUGGCAUCGAUGAAGAACGCAGCGAAAUGCGAUACGUAGUGUGAAUUGCAGAAUUCAGUGAAUCAUCGAAUCUUUGAACGCACAUUGCGCCCUUUGGUAUUCCAAAGGGCAUGCCUGUUCGAGCGUCAUUUGUACCCUCAAGCUUUGCUUGGUGUUGGGCGUUUUUGUCUUUGGUCGCCCAAAGACUCGCCUUAAAGUGAUUGGCAGCCGGCCUUUCUGGUUUCGCAGCGCAGCACAUUUUUGCGCUUGCCAUCAGCAAAACGGCAAUCCAUCAAGCCUCCUUCUCACGUUUGACCUCGGAUCAGGUACGGAUACCCGCUGAACUUAAGCAUAUCAAUAGGCGG
rnacentral:rRNA from 1 species